rnacentral:lncRNA from 1 species
UGUCACCCAAGCUGGAAUGCAAUGGUGCGAUCUCGGCUCACUGCAACCUCCGCCUCCUGGGUUCAACGAUUCUCCUGCCUCAGCCUCCUGAGUAGCUGGGACUACAGGUGUGCACUACCACACCCAGCUAGUUUUUUUGUAUUUUUAGUAGAGACAACAACUUGAAUGUAAACAUAAUCUACAACCCAGUUGAGUAACUGCUGGAGGAGGAGGGAAGGGGGCAGGGAGAGGCUUAUAGCAAUUUAUCAUUGCCCCCUCAGUUUUUUGUUUGUUUGUUUGUUUUUAAGACGGAGUCUUGCUCUGUCGCCCAGGCUGGAGUGCAGUGGCGCGAUCUCGGCUCACUGCAACCUCCGCCUCCUGGGUUCAUUCUCCUGCCUCAGCCUCCCGAGUAGCUGGGACUACAUGCGCCCGCCACCACGCC